UCAAUACUAGCUCGUCGUCGACAAAGAUUCAUUUCGAUUCCCAAACCACACAAGAAGAACACAAAUUAGCUCGAAAGAAACAAACUCUUUUGAGAAAAUAAUGGAUCCGUCGGAGUCUUUCGCCGGCGGCAAUCCUUCCGACCAACAGAACCAGAAACGUCAGCUUCAGAUCUGUGGUCCUCGUCCCUCACCUCUCAGCGUCAACAAAGACUCUCACAAGAUCAAGAAACCUCCUAAACACCCUGCUCCUCCGCCUCAGCAUCGCGACCAAGCUCCGCUCUACGCUGCUCGAGAGCCGGUGGUCAUCUACGCCGUCUCGCCGAAAGUCGUCCACACCACAGCCUCGGAUUUCAUGAACGUCGUCCAGCGUCUCACCGGCAUCUCAUCCGCCGUCUUCCUCGAAUCCGGUAACGGCGGAGAUGUAUCUCCGGCGGCGAGACUCGCCGCGACCGAGAAUGCAAGCCCGAGAGGAGGAAAAGAACCGGUGAUGGCGGCUAAAGAUGAGACGGUGGAAAUCGCGACGGCUAUGGAAGAAGCAGCCGAGUUGAGCGGCUAUGCGCCGGGGAUACUCUCCCCUUCUCCGGCUAUGUUACCGACAGCUUCUGCCGGAAUAUUCUCGCAGAUGACUACUCACCAAGGUGGGAUGUUCUCGCCGGGAUUGUUUUCGCCGGCGGGGUUAAUGAGCCCGUUUGGUUUUGCUAGCUUGGUUGCUUCUCCAACGUUUGCUGAUUUGUUCAGUCAUAUUUGGGAUUAGUUUUUGACACUCUUGACAGUGAAGACUAGAAUAGCAAGUUCAGAACUUAGGAAUGGAUUUUUAUAAUCAGCAGAGGCCACUACACCCAGCCCAGGUGGAUCCACGAAAUAUAUUUCCUCCUCCAACAACAAUCGCAACCUAUGAAGAUCAAGACAGAGCAUCAUCCUUUCAGUAUACAUGUCUAAAGCAUAAAAAAAAUCUCCGCCUCAUGUUUCUUUAACCAAAUCACAAAUAGAACAAAAAAAGUGUUGGAGAAUAACCUCAAUGCCAAGGCGAGUCACUGCUGCAACCUCCCUUGCAGUAGACAUUUAAGUGGUGGUUCCGAUGCUCCAUCGAAGGAAGCCAUUCCAGGGAACGAUGGCUGAUAGAAGAAGAGGUUGAAAUUGGGGAGUAAGAAGUGAGGGGCAAGGGAGUCGCCAUUGAGUGUUAAUGCUCCAAGAAUCACAAGCUUAGCAGAGACUGCGACAGUACGUGAAGCUCUUAUGGGUAAUCAGUGGUGGUUGAGCUCAUCGGGAUCAAGAAACCCUAUUAUCUCUUUCUUAAGAGACUCUUUGCCGGAUCCGGCAGAUAUUAUCAACUUUGAAGUGGAUGAUCGCUAUCUUUGGCAAAUUGGAGGGAAUGCUCCUAAAGAUAGCUACUCUUCCUCAGCCAUGUGGAAUUACUUGUAUAAUCAGUCUCCGGCAGUACCUUGGUACAGGUCAGUGUGGUUUACAGGUAUGAUUCCUAAGCAUGCUUUUAUCUUGUGGCUAGCAGCUCUUGAUAGACUGUCAACUAGAGACAGAAUGAGACGUUGGGGGGGUUUCUGUAUCUCCUUUAUGUAUUCUCUGUGGCAGCAGCAAUGAGUGUAGGCAACAUAUCUUCUUCGACUGUCCUUAUAGUAAGGAGGUCUGGUCUUUCUUCUACUCUAGACUCCAUCUUUCUCCUCCUCCAUUGUUUGAAGAAGGACUCAGGUGGAUCAGAAGUCCCACUCAGGACAACAAUGUCAAUCUUAUUCUACGGCUGUCGUAUCAAGCUUCCGUCUAUAUGAUAUGGAAGGAGAGGAACUUUAGGAUUCAUUCACAGGUUUCACGACCUCCUGCUCCUCUUAUUGCUGAGAUUCAACGUCUGAUUCGCGCCAAAUUGGACUCUUUGUCAAGGGCACGGUGAAAUCUACCUUCGACUGUUACCUUUCUUUCUACUUGGUUCUCUUUCUUUUAGUAGCUAGCAAUAGAGUAGUUCUCCUUUGUAAUGCUUGAGAAUAAAAGGAAUAAAGGUAAAUUAGAAAGAAA